rnacentral:rRNA from 1 species
UGCAGUCGACGGCAGCACGGGAGCUUGCUCCUGGUGGCGAGUGGCGAACGGGUGAGUAAUGCGUCGGAACGUACCGAGUAAUGGGGGAUAACGCAGCGAAAGCUGUGCUAAUACCGCAUACGCCCUGAGGGGGAAAGCAGGGGAUUGCAAGACCUUGCGUUAUUCGAGCGGCCGACGUCUGAUUAGCUAGUUGGUGGGGUAAAGGCCUACCAAGGCGACGAUCAGUAGCGGGUCUGAGAGGAUGAUCCGCCACACUGGAACUGAGACACGGUCCAGACUCCUACGGGAGGCAGCAGUGGGGAAUUUUGGACAAUGGGGGAAACCCUGAUCCAGCCAUUCCGCGUGAGUGAAGAAGGCCUUCGGGUUGUAAAGCUCUUUCAGCUGGAAAGAAACGGUGCGCUCUAACAUAGCGUGCUAAUGACGGUACCAGCAGAAGAAGCACCGGCUAACUACGUGCCAGCAGCCGCGGUAAUACGUAGGGUGCGAGCGUUAAUCGGAAUUACUGGGCGUAAAGCGUGCGCAGGCGGAUUGUUAAGCAAGAUGUGAAAUCCCCGGGCUUAACCUGGGAAUGGCAUUUUGAACUGGCAGUCUAGAGUGUGUCAGAGGGGGGUGGAAUUCCACGUGUAGCAGUGAAAUGCGUAGAUAUGUGGAGGAACACCAAUGGCGAAGGCAGCCCCCUGGGAUAACACUGACGCUCAUGUACGAAAGCGUGGGUAGCAAACAGGAUUAGAUACCCUGGUAGUCCACGCCCUAAACGAUGUCAACUGGUUGUUGGGGGGAGUGAAAUCCCUUAGUAACGAAGCUAACGCGUGAAGUUGACCGCCUGGGGAGUACGGUCGCAAGAUUAAAACUCAAAGGAAUUGACGGGGACCCGCACAAGCGGUGGAUGAAUGUGGAUUAAUUCGAUGCAACGCGAAAAACCUUACCUACCCUUGACAUGUCCAGAAUCCUGCAGAGAUGCGGGAGUGCCCGAAAGGGAAUUGGAACACAGGUGCUGCAUGGCUGUCGUCAGCUCGUGUCGUGAGAUGGUGGGGUUAAGUCCCGCAACGAGCGCAACCCUUUAUCAUUAAGUUGCUACCCCAAGGGCACUCUUAUU